rnacentral:miRNA from 1 species
AUAGGAAUCAUCUGGGAAUCUUGUUAAAAUGUAGAUUCUGAUUCCAUGGGUCAGGGAUGGGCCUAAGAUUUGGCAAUUCUAACAAGCAACCCUGGUAAGGCU